UUCAACAGCCAUAGUCUCCUAACGGUGCAAGAAAGACAGUCAUGGUUCUGCUGGUUUCAGGACCGGGUUCCUCAGAACUUGAGGGCAGCAAUACAACUUCCUCUGGCUGGAGAGGUGUCCAUCUUGUUCCCCUUCCUGCACUAGGACUGGCAGGUGUGGUACCACCAGGACACCCCAAUGACACCAUGUCAGCUCAUUGAUGAUCUGAAGGCUGCCUGGAAGUUUUAUAUCAGCAGCAUCGGAUGGAGCUACCACGAUUGUCUUGUCUGGGUGACCCCUGUGCUGAUCUUGGUAUUCUAUCUGGAUUAGUGGCAUUCAAAGGAUUGCUCCAUCCUGAAUUUGUGACUGUGGGUAACCAGCACUCUCAUUAAAUGCACCAAUCACUUUGAAUCCAUGAACAUGGCAGUGCCCUUAGAACUGCUUGACAGUACAUUUGUUUCACAUUUAAAUGCAUCACUACUAGUAGUUUAGCAAAGAUUAUUGGCAAAUCAAUAUUUAAGAAUUGUAGGUUAUAGCUGAUUAUGACCAUGGUUUUGGAUAUUUAAUACUGUGCGCAUACUAAGUACAUUACAAGAGCUAAGACACUUAAUCCAACUGAUUGCCUUCCAAUAAAAUCACUUGCAGUUGCUAAAGCAGAAGCAGAUUUCAAGAACAUUUACUUACGUAGUGAAGGCUUCAUUUUGCUUUGCCCCCAGGUAGUAGGAGUAGAGAUUAAACAUUCCUAUCAUGAAGGCCACAAAGACCAUGAUAAAUAUGACCAUGAACUUGAAUAUAUCUUUCACAGUUCUACCAAGCGAUAUCUGUAGAGGUCCAAAGCUUUCAUUGGCUGGCAGAAUGUAGGCGAUUCUUGAGAAACUUAAAACCACAGCGAUUGCAUACAGCCCUUCAGAUAUGAUUUGAGGGUCAGAUGGAUCCCAGUCUAUUCUUGCUAAGAAGAAAAACCACAAGACCUUCUGUUUAAUGUUUUGAGAUAUAGGUCCCAUAUUUACCUGCACACAUACAAAAGUCAGUCUCUGAGAUCUUGCUGUACAUCCUUUUGGUGUCAGAAGUACAGCACUUGGGAACAAGAGAGGCGGUGUUCUCUGCUAUGGAGUACAGG